GACGAACGCUGGCGGCGUGCUUAACACAUGCAAGUCGAACGGAAAGGCCCUGCUUUUGUGGUGUGCUCGAGUGGCGAACGGGUGAGAAACACGUGAGUAACCUGCCUUUGACUUUGGGAUAACUUCAGGAAACUGGGGCUAAUACCGGAUAGGAGCUCCUGCUGCAUGGGGGGGGUUGGAGAGUUUCGGCGGUUGGGGAUGGACUCGCGGCUUAUCAGCUUGUUGGUGGGGUAGUGGCUUACCAAGGCUUUGACGGGUAGCCGGCCUGAGAGGGUGACCGGCCACAUUGGGACUGAGAUACGGCCCAGACUCCUACGGGAGGCAGCAGUGGGGAAUAUUGCACAAUGGGCGGAAGCCUGAUGCAGCAACGCCGCGUGCGGGAUGACGGCCUUCGGGUUGUAAACCGCUUUCGCCUGUGACGAAGCGUGAGUGACGGUAAUGGGUAAAGAAGCACCGGCUAACUACGUG
rnacentral:rRNA from 1 species